GGGUUCAUAGCUUAGUAGUAGAGCGUUUGACUACAGAUUAAGAAGUCAUCGGUUCGAACCCGGUUGAGCCCU